rnacentral:rRNA from 1 species
UGGGGAAUAUUGCACAAUGGGCGCAAGCCUGAUGCAGCCAUGCCGCGUGUGUGAAGAAGGUCUUCGGAUUGUAAAGCACUUUAAGUUGGGAGGAAGGGCAGUAAGUUAAUACCUUGCUGCUUUGACGUUACCGACAGAAUAAGCACCGGCUAACUCUGUGCCAGCAGCCGCGGUAAUACAGAGGGUGCAAGCGUUAAUCGGAAUUACUGGGCGUAAAGCGCGCGUAGGUGGUUUGUUAAGUUGGAUGUGAAAGCCCCGGGCUCAACCUGGGAACUGCAUCCAAAACUGGCAAGCUAGAGUACGGUAGAGGGUGGUGGAAUUUCCUGUGUAGCGGUGAAAUGCGUAGAUAUAGGAAGGAACACCAGUGGCGAAGGCGACCACCUGGACUGAUACUGACACUGAGGUGCGAAAGCGUGGGGAGCAAACA